UCUUCCAAUUCCAAAAUCCACCUUCAAACUGCCAGUAAUCAGCUGGAUCCUUGGAGCAUCUGGGGGAAAGAAAUAACAGGAGACACUAAGAUUCACUGUAAAGUCCUUAAAAAGUAUGAUUUCAUUAUUUUUUGUUUCCCAUUACUUUAAUAAAGCUUAAACAAAUGUUAUUUAAAUGAUCAGUACCGACAAAGAAUGCUCUGACCUUCUGUGGCUGCUUUCUAAUGUUCCACCGGACUAAACAUCAAACACCUGAAGCUCAUCUUCACAACUCUGCUGGUGUUAAACAGACUGUGCAGCCACGAUGUAGGAGAUACUGACAAUGUGCCUGAAAAUAAUGGAGAAAUAUUCUGCCAUUUACUGGAGAGCAGGUUUCUGUUGGUCAAUUUAAACAACUGGCUAUUUAAACAAUGUGUGCACUGGAUGGAAAAAUUAACAACUGCAUCAGUCUGAAACUAGCAAAGACACUUGAGUUGUGCUUUACACCAGGUGAAAGAGUCUCAUUCCCUCCCUGGUCAGCUGUUUGGAAAAACUGAAGCAGUAGAUGACAUGAAACUUCAUUCAGCUGAACAGGAGAAAACAGGGACGGCUGAUCUGUGAACACCUGGAGUCUAGACCAGUGAAAACAAGUCAACAGACCAAUGGUGCAACUUCAUGACUCACAUCACAUGGUCUUCAGCCGACCACAGGUUUAACAGUAAAACUCUGUCACUCAGUCAGUUUAAACAAUCCUCCUGUUGGUCACAAAGCAGCUGCUGGUCCGGCUUCACAGAACAUCUCACACAUGCUGUUAGUUCACAAUCCCAGCAGAUCACACGCUGGAAAUCUCCAUGUGCCAGGAGCAUUUUCAAAGUGUAGUGAGAUGCUUUCAGCAUCUGUGCACCUGAAACAGUUUACCUGCUGAUCUUAGACUCGCCCCAUCAAUGUGUUCUUUUAAAACCAAACUAAAGACCUUCCAUUUCUUAAAUGCUGGAGGACGGUGCUUUUAAAGCAGAGACACUUCAUUCUGUUCCCCACCACCUGGUGAUUUACUGUCACUCCUGCUUCUUCAGCAUCAUCAUGAUCUUACAGGUGAUGUGCUGCUGUGGGGACACAUCAAAAAAUAUCCAGUUAUAUCUCAGAGCUGUUACCUUGAAUAUUUGACAUGUUUCUUACUAAUAACUUCCAUGCUGUUGAGAUCAGUAACUGCACACCAUACUUCUUAGGGAGGCUUCUAGUACAGUGACGGCCGUCUACCCUGCACACAUCAAUGUUCACAUGAACUUCAGAUCAAACCAAAGAUAUUUAACACCAGUGAGGAAAUCAACAGGUGUUGACAGGUGAUGGUAGCAACACUUUUAAGAUCAGAAUUUAUAAAUAUUAAACUGUGAACAAGUGAUGGAUCAUCUCUAGCACUGUCACCACCUCCACAGGUGAAAGUAUUUACCAAUUAACAUCAGCAUGUUAGGGUAGAAAUAGCGGGUUGUCUUCCCUCCCAGAGACCAGGAGAGGCAGCCCAGGUGACAGUUCAAGGCAGCGACGGGGAAGAACACCUCCUGUCCUGGGAAGGAGAGUCUCCAGAGCUGUCUUCUUGGACUGAACUCGGGCCCUGCAAACUGGGCCAGUGUUAGCCGCCUGGUGGAGGCCGUUUGCAACCAGCUCUGCGUCUUCACCCGGUGGCCACGUGGUCCAGAGGGACCGCGAGGACUCGCUGGUCAUUCAGUCUCCAGGAUCAUGUGGCAUCAGAGAGGCGGUGCUGGCCGGCUCCAGGUUGAUGUCUCAUGAUGAUCUCAGUCCAGUGUUCCCGCUCUUUUAGCUCUGUGUUUGGUCUCCACCAGCUCCUGAGGGAAAUCUGUGUGUUUAGCUUCUUAAUGCUCCACUAUGUUCAGCAGCUGCUCUCGGACCGAGUCUCUGCUGUUUGCUGCUGAGGAGGUCGAGGACAGAGGCUACAGCCCAAGAAGUUUAUAUAUUCAAAGAUGACAGAGACGCUCACAUCAUGUGCUGUGGUGCAGUGGAUGGAUGGGCAUCGCGUGAGAAAACUAAGGUCAUCACAUGACUCACUGUCACAGGGGGAGGAGCCCUGGAGAGAGAUCAUCAGCUUCACCUGAACCUCAAGAAACAGAUGGAACUGACCCACCAGAACUGCAACCUGGAGCAAAAAGGUUGAAAAGGUGUUUAAUAAAUAAACCGGUGAUUAAAUUGUA